rnacentral:rRNA from 1 species
ACGAACGCUGGCGGCGUGCUUAACACCUGCCAGUCGAACGGAAAGGCCCUGCUUUUGUGGGGUGCUCGAGUGGCGAACGGGUGAGUAACACGUGAGUAACCUGCCCUUGACUUUGGGAUAACUUCAGGAAACUGGGGCUAAUACCGGAUAGGAGCUCCUGCUGCAUGGUGGGGGUUGGAAAGUUUCGGCGGUUGGGGAUGGACUCGCGGCUUAUCAGCUUGUUGGUGGGGUAGUGGCUUACCAAGGCUUUGACGGGUAGCCGGCCUGAGAGGGUGACCGGCCACAUUGGGACUGAGAUACGGCCCAGACUCCUACGGGAGGCAGCAGUGGGGAAUAUUGCACAAUGGGCGGAAGCCUGAUGCAGCAACGCCGCGUGCGGGAUGACGGCCUUCGGGUUGUAAACCGCUUUCGCCUGUGACGAAGCGUGAGUGACGGUAAUAGGUAAAGAAGCACCGGCUAACUACGUG